rnacentral:rRNA from 1 species
GAUGAACGCUGGCGGCGUGCUUAACACAUGCAAGUCGAACGAGAAGUGAAGACGGAAACCUUCGGGCGGAAGGCUUUAUUUCGAGUGGCGGAAGGGUGAGUAACGCGGGGGUAACCUGCCGCAUACAGGGGGAUAACAGAUGAAAACGACCGUUAAUACCGCGUAAGACCACAGCACCGCAUGGUGCGGGGGUAAAAACUCCGGUUGGAUGAGAUGGACCCGCGUUCGAUUAGCCAGUUGGCGGGGUAACGGCCCACCAAAGCGACGAUCGAUAGCCGAUCUGUGAGGAUGCCCGGCCACAUUGGGACUUAGCCACGGCGCAAACUCCUACGGGAGGCAGCAGUGGGGAAUAUUGCACUGUGGGGGAUACCCUGAUGCAGCGACGCUGCGUGAGUGAAGAUGUAUUUCGGUAUGUAAAGCUCUAUCAGCAGGGCAGAAAAUGACGGUACCUGAGUAAGAAGCCCCGGCUAACUACGUG